rnacentral:rRNA from 1 species
CGAGGGGGGCAAGUGUUGUUCGGAAUCACUGGGCGUAAAGGGAGCGUAGGCGGAUGUUAAGUCGGGUGUUUAAAACCGGGGCCCAACCCCGGAGCGGCACCCGAAACUGGGCAUCUUGAAUAGGUCAGAGGCUGGUGGAAUUGGAGGUGUAGCGGUGGAAUGCGUAGAGAUCUCCAAGAACACCUAUUGCGAAGGCAGCCAGCUGGGACCAUAUUGACGCUGAGGCUCGAAAGCAUGGGGAGCAAACAGGAUUAGAUACCCUGGUAGUCCAUGCCGUAAACGAUGAACACUAGGUUUUGGGCUCGUCAACGGUCCAGAGCCGCAGCUAACGCGUUAAGUGUUCCGCCUGGGGAAUACGGUCGCAAGACUG